rnacentral:rRNA from 1 species
AUUGAACGCUGGCGGCAGGCCUAACACAUGCAAGUCGAGCGGAUGACGGGAGCUUGCUCCUUGAUUCAGCGGCGGACGGGUGAGUAAUGCCUAGGAAUCUGCCUGGUAGUGGGGGACAACGUUUCGAAAGGAGCGCUAAUACCGCAUACGUCCUACGGGAGAAAGCAGGGGACCUUCGGGCCUUGCGCUAUCAGAUGAGCCUAGGUCGGAUUAGCUAGUUGGUGAGGUAAUGGCUCACCAAGGCGACGAUCCGUAACUGGUCUGAGAGGAUGAUCAGUCACACUGGAACUGAGACACGGUCCAGACUCCUACGGGAGGCAGCAGUGGGGAAUAUUGGACAAUGGGCGAAAGCCUGAUCCAGCCAUGCCGCGUGUGUGAAGAAGGUCUUCGGAUUGUAAAGCACUUUAAGUUGGGAGGAAGGGCUGUAAGCUAAUACCUUGCUGUUUUGACGUUACCGACAGAAUAAGCACCGGCUAACUCUGUGCCAGCCGCCGCAGUAACAC